rnacentral:rRNA from 1 species
GAGGAAUAAGCAUCGGCUAACUCCGUGCCAGCAGCCGCGGUAAUGACGGGGGAUGCAAGCGUUAUCCGGAAUCAUUGGGCGUAAAGCGCCUGUAGGUUGUUUAAUAAGUCUGUUGUUAAAGACUAGGGCUCAACCCUAGAAAAGCAAUGGAAACUGUUAGACUAGAGUAUGGCAGGGGUAGAGGGAAUUUCUAGUGUAGCGGUGAAAUGCGUAGAUAUUAGAAAGAACACCGGUGGCGAAAGCGCUCUACUGGACCAUUACUGACACUCAGAGGCGAAAGCUAGGGUAGCAAAAGGGAUUAGAUACCCCUGUAGUCCUAGCCGUAAACGAUGGAUACUAGAUGUUGUAUGUUAUUUACAGUAUCGUAGCUAACGCGUUAAGUAUCCCGCCUGGGGAGUACGCUCGCAAGGGUGAAACUCAAAGGAAUUGACGGGGGCCCGCACAAGCGGUGGAGCAUGUGGUUUAAUUCGAUGCAACGCGAAGAACCUUACCAAGGCUUGACAUACUACAGAUUUCUUUGAAAGAGGAAAGUGCCUUCGGGAAUGUAGAUACAGGUGGUGCAUGGCUGUCGUCAGCUCGUGUCGUGAGAUGUUGGGUUAAGUCCCGCAACGAGCGCAACCCUUAUUUUUAGUUACCAAUUCGUUGGGUUCUCUAGAAAGACUGCCGGUGACAAACCGGAGGAAGGUGAGGAUGACGUCAAGUCAGCAUGCCCCUUAUGUCCUGGGCUACACACGUGCUGACAAUGGCUAAGACAAAGAGUUGCGAGCUCGCGAGANGAA